UCUAAAGAGAGAUGAGAAAAAUUCAGUGUGCUGUAUUUAUGGCUCAUACGUUAAGCCUUUGCAUUCAAAGGAUGUGCAAGUGGACAUAACCGCAGGCCUGGCUGUGACAGAACAAGACAUAUCAGACCAACCUGUCAGUAUAUUCUCAGUGAUGAAAUUUUUUGCUGUGCUCAAUUUGUGCAGGUAAGGAGAACCCACCAACACAGCUCUGGACUCACUCCUUCCACCAUGGUCUGGCUGUAACAUUCUUCUUUUUUUACCCUUUUCAGUGUUUGUCUACUGAAGCUGCGUCCAACCAUGGACUUGCACUUAAAAGGGCAUUUUUAUCAUUCUCAGGUGUGAAACAUUAGAUGACGAGUGUGUCAAGUGUUCGAGAAAAGAAAAAAGGUGGAUAAAUUGGGUUUUGAAAGAGAUCUGUCCCCACUCAACUCCCACUGGGAACCAAAAAAACAAACGUUAUAGGGGAAUUCUAUUCUCUCUUGUUCUGUAAUAAUGUAGGAAUCUCAGGGGCAGAAGUGUGAUAUACAGCAACACAAGGGAAUGUAUCAGUGCAGUAGAAUCAUAGAUAUGUAUUUCUGAGAAGAGAUUUGGAGCUUCUGGGGGAAAACCAGAAUUUAGUUCUACAACAAACAUGAAGAACUACAUAGAAAAGCUGUACUGACAGCUGGAAGGAAGGAACUAACUACAAAAGAAAUCACGCAUUGGGAAACACUCUGGACUUGUUGGGCAACAACAAUAACACACUGCACUCAUCUUAUUCAGAUGACAUCCUGUUCAGAUGGAUACCGUGACUGCUGUGUAGUUAAGCCAGACAGAAGUGCCUGCUAUGGCACUAGUCAAGACCCUUGUCUUUCUUCAGAGCUGACAAACUAAAUCUGGGACCUCUGUGGUGUGCAGCUGAUCCCCAUAGCCAGGCUCACAGCACACUGCUCUAUCUACCAUGGGUGACCAAACAUUUUUGUGGGGACGCUGACUUUCUCUGCAAUACUGCAGUAGUUCAGCACUGUUCCCAAGAAACGAGCUUCCCAGAGCUUUUCAUUAAACAAUAUUCCCACACCUUCCCCAAAUAACUCAAUUUCUGAAGAGACACAGAAGAAUACAGCACUUAAAAAAACUUAAACCAGUUACAGGUAAACGCUGUGCCUGUUUGCUUUGAGAGUAACCUACAGCUGCAGGGCUUGCAAUUAGAAACAAGCUCCUACCCUAACAACAGAAACAAGGGUAAGUGCUACCUUGCAGCUCAGCCCCUCUAAGGAGUCAAUUUUUACCGUAUCCUCCAGUCAGCCAACUGGUACUGCUUGUCAGCAUCCACGCUGCAAUACAGCUUCAGCAAGUGGUCCAAAGAGUGCUUGCCAAGAUUGAGAAGACGAGCAGCUUGGUGAGUAUCAAACAUGUUCACCAAGUACAGGCCAAAGUCUUUCUGCAGCCACUCCACAUCUGAAUCAGCACCGUGCAGGA